rnacentral:rRNA from 1 species
GAUGAACGCUGGCGGCGUGCCUAAUACAUGCAAGUCGAGCGAACGGACGAGAAGCUUGCUUCUCUGGUGUUAGCGGCGGACGGGUGAGUAACACGUGGAUAACCUACCUAUAAGACUGGGAUAACUUCGGGAAACCGGAGCUAAUACCGGAUAAUAUUUUGAACCGCAUGGUUCAAAAGUGAAAGACGGUCUUGCUGUCACUUAUAGAUGGAUCCGCGCUGCAUUAGCUAGUUGGUAAGGUAACGGCUUACCAAGGCAACGAUGCAUAGCCGACCUGAGAGGGUGAUAGGCAACACAGGACCUGAGAAACGGUCCAGACUCCUACGGAGGCAGCAGUAGGGAAUAUUCCGCAAUGGGCGAAAGCCUGACGGAGCAACGCCGCGUGAGUGAUGAAGGUCUUCGGAUCGUAAAACUCUGUUAUUAGGGAAGAACAUAUGUGUAAGUAACUGUGCACAUCUUGACGGUACCUAAUCAGAAAGCCACGGCUAACUACGUG